rnacentral:rRNA from 1 species
UACGAAGGGGGCUAGCGUUGCUCGGAAUUACUGGGCAUAAAGGGCGCGUAGGCGGAUAUCUAAGUCGGGGGUGAAAGCCCGGGGCUCAACCUCGGAAUUGCCUUCGAUACUGGAUAUCUUGAGUUCGGGAGAGGUGAGUGGAAUGCCGAGUGUAGAGGUGAAAUUCGUAGAUAUUCGGCGGAACACCAGUGGCGAAGGCGACUCACUGGCCCGAUACUGACGCUGAUGCGCGAAAGCGUGGGGAGCAAACAGG